AGAGAAGAGCCAAGGGCCGGGCCAGAGAUCGCCGAGGGAGAGAGAGCUACCGUCGCGUCUGCUGCAGGCUCACCAUCAUCGCCAUCGUGGAGCCGCGAGGAGACAGUCAACGGUGCGAGCUAGCGAAAGGAGAGAGGGAGCCCGCGAAUUUGUUGCUGAGCCACCGUUGAUGUGAGGAACAGAACACGCGAGAGGGGUUUGCGACUGCGCCGUUAGCGUCACCGUCGUUCCGUUCUGCCACUGCCAUCGUUGAAGCUCGCGGGAGAAGGAGUCAUUGUCGGAAGAAACCGUUGCCGCUAUGUGUAGAGAGAAGA